AUUGAACGCUGGCGGCAUGCUUUACACAUGCAAGUCGAACGGUAACAGGCCGCAAGGUGCUGACGAGUGGCGAACGGGUGAGUAAUUCAUCGGAACGUGCCCAGUCGUGGGGGAUAACUACUCGAAAGAGUAGCUAAUACCGCAUACGAUCUAUGGAUGAAAGCGGGGGACCGUAAGGCCUCGCGCGAUUGGAGCGGCCGAUGUCAGAUUAGGUAGUUGGUGGGGUAAAGGCUCACCAAGCCAACGAUCUGUAGCUGGUCUGAGAGGACGACCAGCCACACUGGGACUGAGACACGGCCCAGACUCCUACGGGAGGCAGCAGUGGGGAAUUUUGGACAAUGGGCGCAAGCCUGAUCCAGCAAUGCCGCGUGCAGGAAGAAGGCCUUCGGGUUGUAAACUGCUUUUGUACGGAACGAAACGGCUCUGGUUAAUACCCGGGGCUAAUGACGGUACCGUAAGAAUAAGCACCGGCUAACUACGUG
rnacentral:rRNA from 1 species